GGAGGGCGCGGCGGUCGC
rnacentral:sRNA from 1 species